CAACAGCGAGUCCGUUUUUUUGGUAGAACCAAUAAUUGAUUUAUUUGAAGGAGGAUCAUCCGAACUCACCUGACGUAGAGAUCAAACCCUCAUUCGACCGACCAUAAGGCGGAUAACAUAACAUAAACUUUCUGGUCCAUUUUAACAUUUGUUGGAAACGUUUGUUCUUCAAUGAAAAUAGACUGCGUGAACAUGAUAUUCAACCAUUCAUUAAUUCCGACGAGUUUUCUUGCAGAAACCGUACUUGAUUCACAACUGCUUUGAAAUUGUUUUAUUUAUUCUUGAAACAGCGAUCCGAUUAAGUGCUUGCAUACUUUCGGUUUGUUAGUUUCGUGUUGCCAAACGUCACUGUUUGGCAAAGUUUCUUUCGUUGAUGAUCUGACCUUAAUUGAUUUGUAAGUGAAAUCUUGUGCUGGGAUUAUCAAUUAUUUUGUCAGCAUAAUCCUUCUUGUAACGUUAUAUGCUAUGUCAUUUUAAUAUUUUAAAGAAUCUAUUGAAUCGCUUAUUCUUCAGAUACUUUUAUCGUCAGGAGAAGACACGGUUGACGACGGUAACCCCGCCGGCAUUUCCGUCGGAUCGCCGCCGACGAUUUGCCACUAUCAGCGAACCUCCCGCCUUCGCUAUCUCGUAAAGACGAACGACAAUAGCCUCUCCUUCCGGUGUGAGGUAGCGGUCGCACAGCCUACAACAUAUAAGGCUUUUUCGCAAGAAUUCAUGUUUCGCUUUGAUGGCAGACUCAUCAGCACUUGCACAGUACACAGACUGUCGAUCGUUGUUAUUUUGCUGAGCGGCAUUGCUACAUGGAGUAUUUAAUAUUUCAUUAAUUAAAAUGACCGACACGUUCUCAGGAUUACAUUAUGCGAUGCCACAAGAGAGCGAAAUAAGACCAGACUGUCGGUUAAAUAAAUACAGUUAAGUUCAACUGACGGUGUAUUGUUGUUAACAAACGUGUUUUAUAUAUCAUGCAAUCGUUGUAUCCAGUUGAAAUAUGCACUCGUGGUAUUGUUUUAAUACUUAGUUAUACAAAUUCCUCAUGUAUCAAAUUCAAACUGAUAAGAAAUAAAUAGUGGCGUGUACUGGACGUAACAUGUCGCGUCGGUGGAAAAUUUUGCCACGUUGAGUCCCUGUGAAAUAUGCAACAACAUAUUUCAUUUCACUCGAAUGUAAAUUAAUGGCAUUGUGUAUAAGGCUUGAAACCUGAAAUAAACGCUUUAGCAUUUUGUAA